GCUUGCUUAAAGGGGCCGUAGCCGGUCUGUUAAGUCCCUGGGGAAAUCCUCCCGUUUAACGGAAGGAAGUCUGGGGAUACUGGCAGACUAGGGGGCGGGAGACGCGAGAGGUACUCCGGGGGUAGCGGUGAAAUGUUGUAAUCCUCGGGGGACCACCAGUGGCGAAGGCGUCUCGCGAGAACGCGCUCGACGGUGAGGGACGAAAGCCAGGGGAGCGAACGGGAUUAGAUACCCCGGUAGUCCUGGCUGUAAACUCUGCAGGCUAGGUGUUGCACGCUCUACGGGGGCGUGCAGUGUCGAAGAGAAGUUGAUUAGCCUGCCGCCUGGGAAGUACUACCGCAAGGUAGAAACUUAAAGGAAUUGGCGGGGGAGCACCACAAGGGGUGAAGUCUGCGGUUCAAUUGGAUUCAACGCCGGAAAUCUCACCGGAGGCGACGGCAGGAUGAAGGCCAAGCUAAUGACUUUGCCGAACGAGCCGAGAGGAGGUGCAUGGCCGUCGUCAGCUCGUACCGUGAGGCGUCCUGUUAAGUCAGGCAACGAGCGAGACCCGUGCCCUGUUUGUCAUCCAGCCUCUGUGGAGGCUGGGACACAGUAAGGGGACCGCUGGCGCUAAGUCAGAGGAGGGCGCGGGCGACGGUAGGUCCGCAUGCCCCUAAAAGCC
rnacentral:rRNA from 1 species